CUGGUUGAUCCUGCCAGUAGUCAUAUGCUUGUCUCAAAGAUUAAGCCAUGCAUGUCUAAGUAUAAACAACUUUAUACGGUGAAACUGCGUACGGCUCAUUAUAUCAGUCAUUAUUUAUUUGAUGGUCCCUUACUACAUGGAUACCCGUAGUAAUUCUAGAGCUAAUACAUGCGUCAAGUCCCGACUACUUUGGAAGGGAUGUAUUUAUUAGAUACAAAAUCAAUCUCGGGCAACCGAGUUCAUUGGUGAUUCAUAAUAACUGUUCGAAGCGCAUGCCCUUGUGGUGGCGCUGGUUCAUUCAAAUUUCUGCCCUAUCAGCUUUCGACGGUAGUGUAGUGGACUACCGUGGCGGUGACGGGUGACGGAGAAUUAGGGUUCGAUUCCGGAGAGGGAGCCUGAGAAACGGCUACCACGUCUACGGAUGGCAGCAGGCGCGCAAAUUACCCAAUCCUGACACAGGGAGGUGGUGACAAUAAAUAACAAUACUGGGCGUUCUUACGUCUGGUAAUUGGAAUGAGUACAAUGUAAAUAUCUUAACGAAUGCAAUUGGAGGGAAAGUCUGGUGCCAGCAGCCGCGGUAAUUCCAGCUCCAAUAGCGUAUAUUAAUGUUGCUGCAGUUAAAAAGCUCGUAGUUGGAUUUCUGGCAAUGAGAGCCUGACCGUACUAUUGCUUGGUCAAACUUGUGAAUGUAUAGUGUUGGGAAGCUCUUGUCAUCCUUCUAGGGAACUUGUUCGGUGCUUCACUGUAUCGAGCAAGCGAUCUAGAUCUUUUACUUUGAAAAAAUUAGAGUGUUUAAGGCAGGCUUACGCCAUGAAUACAUCAGCAUGGGAAUAAUAAUCUAGGACUUCGGUUCUAUUUUGUUGGGUUUCUAGAACGGAAGUAAUGAUUGAUAGGGAUAGUUGGGGGUGCUAGUAUUCAGUGGCCAGAGGUGAAAUUCUUGGAUUCACUGAAGACUAACUUAUGCGAAAGCAUUCACCAAGGAUGUCUUCUUUAAUCAAGAACGAAAGUUGGGGGAUCGAAGACGAUCAGAUACCGUCGUAGUCUCAACCAUAAACUAUGCCGACUAGGGAUGAGUGAACGUUGUUUUUCGACUUCAUUCGCACCUUAUGAGAAAUCAAAGUCUUUGGGUUCCGGGGGGAGUAUGGUCGCAAGGCUGAAACUUAAAGGAAUUGACGGAAGGGCACACCAGGAGUGGAGCCUGCGGCUUAAUUUGACUCAACACGGGGAAACUUACCAGGUCCGGACACAGUGAGGAUUGACAGAUUGAAGAUCUUUCUUGAUUCUGUGGGUGGUGGUGCAUGGCCGUUCUUAGUUGGUGGAGUGAUUUGUCUGGUUUAUUCCGUUAACGAACGAGACCUCGACCUGCUAAAUAGAUCGGUCUAUUUCUCCGGAAAUAGCAACUGUAUCUUCUUAGAGGGACUAUCGGUGUGUAGCCGAAGGAAGUUCGAGGCAAUAACAGGUCUGUGAUGCCCUUAGAUGUUCUGGGCCGCACGCGCGCUACACUGACAGGUGCAACGAGCUUUUAUUUCAAUAUACCUUGAUCGACAGAUCUGGGGAAUCUUGGAACACCUGUCGUGCUGGGGAUAGAUUAUUGUAAUUAUUAAUCUUCAACGAGGAAUUCCUAGUAAACGCAAGUCAUCAGCUUGCAUUGAUUACGUCCCUGCCCUUUGUACACACCGCCCGUCGCUGCUACCGAUUGAAUGAAUUAGUGAGCUCCAUGGAUUGGAGUGGUAUGGUUCUCCAUGCUACUACGAGAAGUGGAUCAAACUUGCUCAUUUAGAGGAAGCAAAAGUCGUAACAAGGUUUUCGUAGGUGAACCUGCAG
rnacentral:rRNA from 1 species